UUCAGACAGCAUUGCAUGAACUGGACACAUGCUCUGCGUAUUCCCUCUAAAUCUAAGGUGUGAGAUACAAGGACCCUUUGCCCUCACACAGUCUUGCUCUGUGAACGAGAGUUUACGUUAUUCUCCUCAGGCGAAAUAGUUUCGGGGGUAAACAGAUUGCACAGAAAUUUAGAAUCUGUUCAUCGACUGGGUGACCUGUAAGACGUCAAUGUGAAAGUGGCUUCUUGCACAAAAUUUCUGUUUCACGUUCCUAAAUGAGAAUCAGAAAAGUUGUCAUUUAUGAAUCUAAUUGUCAGCUGUGCUUCCAUUUUCCUGUCAUCGAUCUUAUCCCACUUAUUAUGCUGCGCUGCUGCCUUUUGGUUUGAUGUGACUGUUUUAUUUAGCCCUUUUCCCUUCCUCUGUUCAGCACAUACCAAACUGGUGAGAGCAACAGAGAAGUAAAAUUUAAUUCUCUCUGAGAAGAAGAGAUGAGAGAAAGGUUUGCUUGUAUCGUUAAAAGGAAAGGAGACAUUAGGGCCGAAUACAGUGCUUGCCAGGAUAAAUCAGCUGCCCUGACGGAGCAGACACACUAACUGGUUUCUGCUUACUGGUUAUUCCUUUGAGAUCUACAGUAAAUUCACAGAGCUUCUAUGGAAAACAGUAUAAAUGGUCCUCAAAAAAUUAAGAACAGAGACACCACCAGAUGAUCCAGCAAGUCCACUCAUGGGUAUGUACCCAGAGGAAACAAAACCCCUGCAUAGCACUCUGUUCACUGCAGCAUUACGUACAAGCGCCAAGACACAGAAACAACCGACGUGUCCACAGAAGGCUGAAUUCUGAAAGAAAACAUGGGCUACAGAUACGGCGGCAUACUAUUCAGCCAUGAAAAAAGAAGGCCAUCUUGCCGUUGAGGACAAAAUAUAUGGACCCUCCGGGCAUUUUGCUAAGUGAAGUGAAAGUCCAACAGAGAGACAAAUAUUGUAGGAUCUUUCUUAUUUGUAGAAGCUAAACAACAACAACGACUGACUCCUGGAAACAGAAACCAGACUGCUGGUUCUUGGAGUGGGUGCGAAUUGGGUGAAGCGGGUUCAAGGGGACAGACUUCCAGUUUUAAGAUUCGCAGAUACUGGGACAGAAUCCACGUGCGGCUCGGUGCCUGUCAGUAAUGCUGCUGUGUUGUGUAUUGGCAAGUGGGCAAGAGUAAAUCCUAAAAGUCCUGAUCAGGAAGACAAAAAUGUUUGUAACCGAGGUGCUAGCAAUUAAAUGCACUGUGCUGAUCCUUCUGCAAUAUCUGUGUGAUCGAUUCCUGCUGUACACCUUAAAUAUAUACAAUGUUAUAUGUCAGUUACAUCAGUAAAACUAGAAGGGGUAAAAAGGAUCUAUAAAUAAUACCCUGUAUGUUUUUCUCACUCUCAUGAACUUAACUGUUAAGCAUAGUGCUAGCAUUUUAAUGUGGUUUUGAAUGUACUCACCAUCCUUUGAUGCUGCUUUGAACAAUGUAUGAAUUUGGGCAUGAACCUCUGGCCUGUUUUCCAGUAAAUAACACUUGCAUUUAUAGGACAACUCAACACAGUAUCCUGGUAGUAUUUAGGUGGGAAGAUAAUUUUUUUUAAUGAAAUACCCAAAUUUAGAGACCUGUUGUGCAAGAUAAAUUACAUUUCAUUUAUAAAGAGAUUUUGAGAUCCUAUUUGUUCAAAGAUUGAGAAGUCUUCAAUCAUUUGUUCAACAACUUUAAAAUGUGUUUUAUAUAUUGUUUCAUGUAAACAGCCUUGCACAUACGUGUAUGCUGCUUCUUCCCUUCACAUUAUACUGAAAAUUGGGAUUUAGAACAACUUUGACUUCCUUAACUAAGAAUAUUAUUGGUAAAUACUCGAAAUGGGGUAAAAUUCUGUAUUUUUUUAAAACUAUUUGUAAUUUCCUCAUGAUUUAAGGAAGCUAUAAAGUGUGUGCUAUUUCUGCUUCACAUUUUAAAACAUCAGUGAGCUGUCUGAGACAUGCACGAAGGACUGAGAAUCAGUUGCAAACUUCUGUACAUCAGGGAGCCAUCGCUCUCGAAGCAAGAAUGCCGGCCGGUGCUGCAGUGAACAUUGUGGCCUUGCAGUUUUCUCUAAGAAGAUUCUGCUCUUUAGGAAAAUUAGAGUCCACUCUAAAUUCUGGCAAUGGGUCCUCCCCUCCCGGUACCUGAAUAAAGAGAGGUCUUCCUUUAGACAACGUCCUGUGAAAGGGGUGAGGUUUGCAGGAACGUAUCCAUCACAUAACCUCAGCUUGGAUCAGAAUCUGAGCGUGUAGGGACAGCUCACCUUACGUGCUAAAAGGAGAGUAAAAAUUAAGCCACAUGUUUCAGAGAAGGAAACUGUGCCUGUCGUUGGUCGUGCAAAGGGACAGAAAAAGGCAACAGCUGGGGUAGCCCCGAUGUGCAGGUGGGACAGACUAUGGCCUGUGGCCUCAGCCCAGGCAGGGUCUCUUCCAGGGAAGCACAGGGGGCAGAGGAGGGAUAGCCACUCAAACACACGUGACACUUGUACAAGUUUCGUUGUGCACUUUCACAUUUAGUGGCGCAAGUUAGGCCAAAUUAACGUUGCCUGGAGAAGGAUGUGGUUGGGAAUCCAGCAUGGGCCAGAGUAAGUAUUGUUUGACAGAUAAAUGCACGUUUGUGAUGCACUGUACGUGUUCCUUCCCUCUGGGAUCCGGGAGGAACUUUGGAAAGAUCAGCUUGAGCAGAAAGAAACAGGAAUCCGGGAUGAAGUACAGAUGGGAAGCUGAACCAUCCCCGUUGUCACACACUUUUUAGGGACAUCGCACUUGCUUCGAAGGGGUACUGUUGAUUUGUAACAAGCCGAAUAGACUUUUCAACCAAAGAUUGUAAUGCUUUUGAAAAUAGAUGGACUUGUAUCAUAGUUUCUGCUUCAAAUUUAGUUUUUUCAUUUUACUAGAUUUAUAUGGGAAAUUGACAUAGAUGUGUGAAUAUAAAUUAUGCUCUUUGUCAAACAACUUGUCAGUUUCCUAACUUAAGGGGAAAACCGUUUUCCCUAGGAAAGUUUCUGUAAUGACAUAAAAAAGCAUAUGUAAAUUUAAAAGUUUUUGUGUCAGGGUCUUUAUUGUUCAUUUUUUGAAAACUGGAUCUUCAAAUGUAAAAAAUAAAAUGUAGAUUGGAGAAUUUUCA